AUAAAAACAGUCACAGAAAUAUGCAUUGUAAUGAUCCACAACAUCAGCAUUGUCCCAAACAUCCUGUUACAAAUGCUUUAAUGUUUUAAACAUUUGUUUAGUUUUUUAAGCUACUUUAGACAAAAAAAAAAUGUACAGACAGCAUCUCAGCCAUCUCAUUUACAUAUUCCUAACAGAACAAAUGAAAAAAUAUGAUCCACAUGUUUAUUAUUAGGUGCUAAAUUGAACCCCUGAUAAGUCUGGGCUCCAAGGAAACACCUACCAUAGCAAAGUUGAAAAAUGUAUCUUUUGGUAGACGUUUUACCCAAACAUGUAAAUCAACUCACAAAUCAAGUACUAUCAGUGGAUUGUGUUUACAGAGUCGCUAUGUGUGUGUGAGUUUGUGUGUGUCAUGGGACAAAGUUCCCAAAGCUCAGUAAUGUUUAACAGAACAGUUUUGGGUGAGAUUACCGAACACUGGGUAUGAAGAAGAAACAGCAUGGUUAAUAUGCAUCCACUUUGUGUGUUUAUGCACAGGAACACCAGACUGAGGCUUUUCUGCCAUACAAUAGUUGACUGGCUGGACUGACAUAUUAAAUAUGGAGAUUCUUCCUCUGUUAGUGCUUGUUCUUUCAUGGUGGACUGAAGUUGCCAGAACACAGAUGAAGCUGACUCCUGCGAGCCUGACGGUUGUUGGAGGAGACGAGGCCAAAUUUAGGUGCAGCACCUCCAAUACUGCUUGGACUGUUAUGACAUGGCUGCUAGGAAAUAGACCAGUACUAACCAUCGACAAGCUGAAUGGUGUUUUACCUACUGUCAACCCGAACAUGACGGCUGUAAAAUGUUCCAAAUCAAAUACAGAAUGCUGGGAGUUUAUCCUGAGACACACAGAGAGGAGCAACCAAGGACAAGUUGCUUGUGAUCUGCAGCUCAUUGAUAGAAGGACAGCAGAGCUGUUUGUUCAAGAAAAGGGCAAUGUGAAGGUCUUCGGAGAGAACCGGUUGGCAUUUAAAGGGGAGUUGGUCCUGUUUCAGUGCCAAGCAGCGGGAUGGUACCCUGAACCCACUCUUCAAUGGCAGGUACAUGACAAAAAGGUGAGUCGGGACGAAUACAACAUCAGCACAGAGGAGAAGGAGAAUCUCUUCGCUGUCUCCAGCAACCUUAGCAUCCAGGCCGGGAGGAGCUCUGUGGUUGGCUGUCUGGUCUCAGUGUCUGCCCUCAAAAACCCUCUGGAGAGCAGCGUCAACCUAACAGUGGUCGCUGAGGUGUUGGAGGAAGAGGAUGACUGCACAAUCUUUGUGGCAGUAACUGCGUCUCUCGCUGCUCUUCUGCUGCUUGUGCUGCUCUCCAUCUGCACUGUCCUCUGCUACAGGCAUAGCAGAAAAGCAAAAAAAAAACCACAAGAGGUAUUAAGGUCCGACCAAUCGGGGUUUUGGGAAAGUUCAGUUGCUGAGGCGACAGGAGGGAAUGUCAACCAGGGGUUUUCCAGCGAGAGCACAACCGAUGUGGACAGCAGUGAGAUUAUCAUCGGAACUCGUAGCCAGAUGAGUUUUGACACCUUCCUCAAGGUCCCUGAUGUUGUACGCUCCAGCAGCUUCUCUUUGGACACUGAGGGCCGAAACACAGAGUUUCAAGAAGACAACACAUGUAGCAAUGUCAGAAGAAUUACCACUGUUUAAACACUUUUAUUUUGUAUUAUUCACUAUAUUGGAUUCACUCCUCCCAUUCCGCUAGGGGGCUCUGUAGUUGCUUUGCAUUGGUAUGGGAGGGGAGGUGAAAGAAGAGAAGAAACUUACGGCAGGCCUGAGACUACCGUUAGCUGAAGCUAACAAGCUGAAUCUACCAUAAAAUCACAUCUUACUGGCGUCCAUGAGUGUUGUCUAACGUGAUCAUUCUCUAUAAAAUCCCAUCAGAUCAACAGCUUAGAGAAUACUCAGAUUAGCCUGUCACGUGCCAACAACCAUGUCACACUGAGAGUCACUUACAUCGCCUUUCUUCCUCGAUUGUGAUGCACUGUUUGAAUUUCUGGAAGUUGUUGUCACCACGAAUAGAUGCCUAAAUAUGGAUUCACUAUUGUGUUGACAACCAAUUGAAUGGCUGACACAGAUCCUUAGUUUGGAAAUCACAUCUUGCCAGUGAACGUGAAGAAAGCGUUUGUCCCCUCUCUCCCGCAGCCAUGCUUUCAUCGUCUGUUUUCUCGCACCAAACGCCUGGCACUGAGACAACAGGCUGUUAAAUAAAUAAAGUUUUCUUAGCAUGCCUGA